rnacentral:rRNA from 1 species
CACACUGUAAACGAUGAUUGCUAGGUGUGGGGGGGCUUACCCCUUCCGUGCCGCAGCUAACGCAAUAAGCAAUCCACCUGGGGAGUACGGCCGCAAGGUUGAAACUCAAAGGAAUUGACGGGGGCCCGCACAAGCAGUGGAUUAUGUGGUUUAAUUCGAAGCAACGCGAAGAACCUUACCAGGUCUUGACAUCCAACUAACGAAGCAGAGAUGCAUCAGGUGCCCUUCGGGGAAAGUUGAGACAGGUGG